AGAAUCAACGCUGGCGGCGUGCCUAACACAUGCAAGUCGAACGAGAAAGGGACUUCGGUCCUGAGUAAAGUGGCGCACGGGUGAGUAACACGUGACUAACCUACCCUUGAGUGGGGAAUAACUUCGGGAAACCGAGGCUAAUACCGCAUAACACCUACGGGUCAAAGGAGCAAUUCGCUUAAGGAGGGGGUCGCGGCAGAUUAGCUAGUUGGCGGGGUAAUGGCCCACCAAGGCAGUGAUCUGUAUCCGGCCUGAGAGGGCGCACGGACACACUGGAACUGAAACACGGUCCAGACUCCUACGGGAGGCAGCAGUGGGGAAUUUGCGCAAUGGGGGAAACCCUGACGCAGCAACGCCGCGUGGAGGAUGAAGUCUCUUGGGACGUAAACUCCUUUCGAUCGGGACGAUAAUGACGGUACCGAGAGAAGAAGCCCCGGCUAACUUCGCGCCAGCAGCCGC
rnacentral:rRNA from 1 species